rnacentral:rRNA from 1 species
UAAGCGUGUAGGCUGGUUUUCCAGGCAAAUCCGGAAAAUCAAGGCUGAGGCGUGAUGACGAGGCACUACGGUGCUGAAGCGACAAAUGCCCUGCUUCCAGGAAAAGCCUCUAAGCAUCAGGUAACAUCAAAUCGUACCCCAAACCGACACAGGUGGUCAGGUAGAGAAUACCAAGGCGCUUGAGAGAACUCGGGUGAAGGAACUAGGCAAAAUGGUGCCGUAACUUCGGGAGAAGGCACGCUGAUAUGUAGGUGAAGCGACUUGCUCGUGGAGCUGAAAUCAGUCGAAGAUACCAGCUGGCUGCAACUGUUUAUUAAAAACACAGCACUGUGCAAACACGAAAGUGGACGUAUACGGUGUGACGCCUGCCCGGUGCCGGAAG